GGGCUUAGACCCCGUAACCUGCGAAUGGCUCAUUAAACAAGUUAUAAUCCAUUGGAUUGGGAGUGAUUUGCACAUGGAUAACUGUGCUAACUGUAGAGCUAAUACAUGCGUUGAACCGGCCGCAAGGCCGGUGCAUUUAUUAGAUACCCGCCAACCCGGGCAACCGGUGAGGAGGAGUCAUAAUAACUGAGCGAAUCGCUCGCAAGGGCGAUGCAUCCAUCGAAUUUCUUCCCUAUCAGCUUGACGGUUGUGUAGUGGACCACCGUGGCGGCAACGGGUAACGGGGAAUGGGG
rnacentral:rRNA from 1 species